UGAACGCUAGCUACAGGCUUAACACAUGCAAGUCGAGGGGCAGCAGGACGAUAGCUUGCUAUGUUGCUGGCGACCGGCGCACGGGUGAGUAACGCGUAUCCAACCUUCCCCUUAGUAGGGCAUAGCCCGGUGAAAAUCGGAUUAAUACCCUAUGUUGUGUCAUGAGGACAUCUGAAUAACACUAAAGAUUUAUCGCUAAGGGAUGGGGAUGACGUCCGAUUAGGUAGUCGGCGGGGUAACGGCCCACCGAGCCCUCGAUCGGUAGGGGUUCUGAGAGGAAGGUCCCCCACACUGGUACUGAGACACGGACCAGACUCCUACGGGAGGCAGCAGUGAGGAAUAUUGGUCAAUGGGCGUAAGCCUGAACCAGCCAAGUAAGCGUGCAGGAUGACGGCCCUAUGGGUUGUAAACUGCUUUUAUACGGGGAUAAAGUGAGGGACGUGUCCCUUAUUGUAGGUACCGUAUGAAUAAGGACCGGCUAAUUCCGUGCCAGCCGCCGC
rnacentral:rRNA from 1 species